GUGGUUGUAGCUCAUUGGCAGAGCACUUGCCUAGCAUGUAUGAGGCACUGGGUUCAAUACUCAGAACCACA
rfam:Ictidomys tridecemlineatus contig002937, whole genome shotgun sequence.